GUUGGAUGUGGGAGAACCGCUGGAGGAUACGGUGGGCCAGCACAAGGACCUCUGGGAGUUACAGGUGCUGAAGCAGCGACUGGCCCAGGAGAUAGAGGCCCUGGAGCGGAGCCAGGAGCACCUGCUGGCUGAGAGGCAGCGGCUGCGCCUUCGGCUGCAGGAGAUGG